rnacentral:rRNA from 1 species
CCUACGGGGGGCUGUAGUGGGGAAUAUUGGACAAUGGGGGGAACCCUGAUCCAGCCAUGCCGCGUGUGUGAAGAAGGCCCUCGGGUUGUAAAGCACUUUCAGUGAGGAAGAACGCCUGGUGGUUAAUACCCAUCAGGAAAGACAUCACUCACAGAAGAAGCACCGGCUAACUCCGUGCCAGCAGCCGCGGUAAUACGGAGGGUGCGAGCGUUAAUCGGAAUUACUGGGCGUAAAGCGCGCGUAGGUGGCUUGAUAAGCCGGUUGUGAAAGCCCCGGGCUCAACCUGGGAACGGCAUCCGGAACUGUCAAGCUAGAGUGCAGGAGAGGAAGGUAGAAUUCCCGGUGUAGCGGUGAAAUGCGUAGAGAUCGGGAGGAAUACCAGUGGCGAAGGCGGCCUUCUGGACUGACACUGACACUGAGGUGCGAAAGCGUGGGUAGCAAACAGGAUUAGAUACCCGUGUAGUC